GUCUGACCUAAAUCUGUGCUCGAAACAGAAAAAGCAUUAGUAUGGUCGUCGUGCAACAGGCGUUCUACGGAUUUCUUCUGUUGUGCACAUUAGCAGAUUGAUUGAGCAGUUGGCGGGAAACUGAUGCGACACUGCGCUUUGAGAGGUUUCUUUGGUACGCGGUUUCUCUUUUGUUACAUCCUACACAAGUACUAGGGGGACAGUCCGACACAUCACCAUACGCAGAUAUGGGAACAAUAAAAUGGAUGCAAUCCGCACUCCAUUCGGUAUACACACAGGAUCGUUCGUAAAAUUUGCCAAUUUUACAUGCACGUCAUUAUUUUUAACUGUCGUAACUCGUAAUACCGUUGGCUGUCAAUAAACCGAACCGAGAGCAAAA